rnacentral:rRNA from 1 species
UACGUAGGUGACAAGCGUUGUCCGGAUUUACUGGGCGUAAAGAGCGCGCAGGCGGUCGAUCAAGUCGAGUGUGAAAGCCCCCGGCUCCAACUGGGGAGGGUCAUUCGAUACUGAUCGACUCGAAGGCAGGAGAGGGUAGUGGAAUUCCCGGUGUAGUGGUGAAAUGCGUAGAUAUCGGGAGAACACCAGUGGCGAAGGCGACUACCUGGCCUGUUCUUGACGCUGAGGCGCGAAAAGCUAGGGGAGCAAA